CGGCAUCAGCUGUUCGUUGUUUGUAAACAUUCCCAUUGAGUUCCGCUUUCUAAAAAUAGCCGCCAUGUUUACAUUGCUACUUACCAACAUCAGAAAAGAAUGCAUCAAUAUUCUCAUUCUUGUAAAGUUUCCAUUUUCCUUCAAAUUUACUUUUCAUCUCAUCAGUGGCCAUUUUUAAUGAUUACAACCUUUUUAGUGAGAUAACUGCAGUGUCCCUGGUCAUGGAUCAAUGGCAGAAAUGGCCUUGAAAAAGUUCAUAAUUUAUAAG
rnacentral:lncRNA from 1 species